AGUGAACGCUGGCGGUAGACCUAACACAUGCAAGUCGAACGGCAGCACAGUAAGAGCUUGCUCUUACGGGUGGCGAGUGGCGGACGGGUGAGGAAUACAUCGGAAUCUACUUUUUCGUGGGGGAUAACGUAGGGAAACUUACGCUAAUACCGCAUACGACCUACGGGUGAAAGCAGGGGAUCUUCGGACCUUGCGCGAUUGAAUGAGCCGAUGUCGGAUUAGCUAGUUGGCGGGGUAAAGGCCCACCAAGGCGACGAUCCGUAGCUGGUCUGAGAGGAUGAUCAGCCACACUGGAACUGAGACACGGUCCAGACUCCUACGGGAGGCAGCAGUGGGGAACAUUGGACAAUGGGCGCAAGCCUGAUCCAGCCAUACCGCGUGGGUGAAGAAGGCCUUCGGGUUGUAAAGCCCUUUUGUUGGGAAAGAAAAGCAGCAGGUUAAUACCCCGCUGUUCUGACGGUACCCAAAGAAUAAGCACCGGCUAACUUCGUG
rnacentral:rRNA from 1 species